GAAGAAGGAAAUAGACUAUUCUUAGUCUUAGGGGUUGAUUAAUAAUUGAGUACUAUUCGGUCGUUUUCUAGAAAUAUUCAUUUUUGUCAUCUAUCUACUUUAUCUAAUUUCUUGUUAGAUACGCACUUUUUAUUCAUUUAAAUUAUUCAUUUAAAAUAAAUGAAAAUUACAAUCCAGGGCGGA
rnacentral:tRNA from 1 species